rnacentral:tmRNA from 1 species
GGGGGCGACCUGGCUUCGACGGGGGUCGCGAAGCAGCGUAGGGCAUACCGAGGGUCAGAGCACCUCGUAAAUCCAACUGAAAAUCGUUUAAACGCAAACGACGAAACUUACGCUCUGGCCGCUUAAUGCGCCGGACCCUGCACCAUCCAGCAUACGGGGUGGGUUAGGCAACUAACAGCAGGGUAAUCUCAGUAUGAUCGUGGCUGUCCGGGUGGCUUGGGCAGACAUUAAAUCAAGGCCACUCGCCAAAGUUCAGCCUGUUCGGCGGGCGUAACCGAGGUUAAAGCAAUAAAUCACCGGACUAAGUAUGUAGAACUGCCUGUAGAGGGCUUUCGGACGCGGGUUCGAUUCCCGCCGCCUCCACCA